UGCGUAGGUGGCUCAAUCAGUCAGAGGUGAAAUCUUGCGGCUUAACCGUAAAAUUGCCUUUGAUACUGUUGGGCUUGAAUUAGGUUGAGGUUGGCGGAAUGUGGCAUGUAGCGGUGAAAUGCAUAGAUAUGCCAUAGAACACCAAUUACGAAGGCAGCUGACUAGACCUUAAUUGACACUGAGGCACGAAAGCGUGGGGAGCGAACAGGAUUAGAUACCCUGGUAGUCC
rnacentral:rRNA from 1 species